UCGCCUAACAUCUCCCGCGUGAUCCGGUACAUCUGUCAAAGAAUAACGCAGGUGUCCUAAGGCCAGCUCAGCGAGGACAGAAACCUCGCGUGGAGCAAAAGGGUAAAAACUGGCUUGAUCCAGAUUUUCAGUACGCAUAGGGACUGCGAAAGCACGGCCUAUCGAUCCUUUAGUAUAAAGAGUUUUUAGCAAGAAGUGCCAGAAAAGUUACCACAGGGAUAACUGGUUUGUGGCGACCAAGCGUUCAUAGUAACGUUGCUUUUUGAUCAUUCGAUGUCGGCUCUUCUUAUCAUUGCGAAGCAAAAUUCGCCAAGCGUUGGAUUGUUCACCGAUUAAAAGGGAACGUGAGCUGGGAUUAGACCGUCGUGCGACAGGUUAGUUUUAUCCUACUGAUGGCUCGUCGUUGCGAUAGUAAUACUGCUCAGUACGAGAGGAACCGGAGUUUCGGACAUUUGGUUCAUGCACUCGGCCGAGCAGCCGGUGGCGCGAAGCUACCAUCCGCGGGAUUAUGCCUGAACGCCUCUAAGGCCUAAACCAGCCUAGCCGAAUCCGGCAAGGAUAUGCUCACUGUGGAGCCCCGAAAGUCGGGAGGCUAUAAACAAUGUGGAUUUACUAGUCGCGCUUUAUUCGUAAGGUGCGACGUCGAAGCCCAUUUGGAACG
rnacentral:misc_RNA from 1 species